UACGGGGGGGGCAAGCGUUGUUCGGAAUUACUGGGCGUAAAGGGCUCGUAGGUGGCCAACUAAGUCAGACGUGAAAUCCCUCGGCUUAGCCGGGGAACUGCGUCUGAUACUGGAUGGCUUGAGUUCGGGAGAGGGAUGCGGAAUUCCAGGUGUAGCGGUGAAAUGCGUAGAUAUCUGGAGGAACACCGGUGGCGAAGGCGGCAUCCUGGACCAACACUGACGCUGAGGAGCGAAAGCCAGGGGAGCAAACGGG
rnacentral:rRNA from 1 species